GAUUUGCAGGGGCUAGCUAGACAAUGCUCUGGAGUCAUCAAGUGGGCACAUUUGGGAGAAAAGCUACAAAUCUGUCAGAGGACGACUCAUUCAUGCUUUAUUAAAAAGUACAGGGUUCCACUGAGCAAGAAUGUUUUGACAACUGAAAUCGCUUCCAAAUAGUAAAGUAAUACCAGCAUUGUUUAUUGAGCAACUCGAACACAUGCAAGAUCAGAGCACAAAUAAAAAGCAGCAGGAUAUCAAAGUAAUAGAUUGUGCCACC